rnacentral:rRNA from 1 species
AUUGAACGCUGGCGGCAUGCCUUACACAUGCAAGUCGAACGGUAGCGGGCCUUCGGGUGCCGACGAGUGGCGAACGGGUGAGUAAUGUAUCGGAACGUACCUUUCAGUGGGGGAUAACGUAGCGAAAGUUACGCUAAUACCGCAUAUUCUGUGCGCAGGAGAGCAGGGGAUCGCAAGACCUUGCGCUGAUUGAGCGGCCGAUAUCAGGUUAGCUAGUUGGUGAGGUAAAGGCUCACCAAGGCGACGAUCUGUAGCGGGUCUGAGAGGAUGAUCCGCCACACUGGAACUGAGACACAGUCCAGACUCCUACGGGAGGCAGCAGUGGGGAAUUUUGGACAAUGGGGGCAACCCUGAUCCAGCCAUGCCGCGUGAGUGAAGAAGGCCUUCGGGUUGUAAAGCUCUUUCGGCCGGGAAGAAAUCGCAUGGGCUAAUACCCUGUGCGGAUGACGGUACCGGCAUAAGAAGCACCGGCUAACUACGUGCCAGCAGCCGCCGUAACAC